rnacentral:lncRNA from 1 species
AGAGAAAGCAUACAGAUCUGUAAGCCGCUAGAGAAGAGGACUGAAGAUCACGACGCUUCAAACACCUGAGAAGCACCGAAGUGGCCAUGAUCGAUCUUCCUGAGAAAAGCAACAACAGAUCUUUAGGGUUUUACGUUAGGGUUUUGGCCUUUAUAGGGAGAGAAAGACCAGUUGAGACGUGAGGGUUUUACCUGAAACGAAUUGGGCUUUCAGAUUCGUAGGUUCUAGAAAAUCCAGCAGCAAGGCCCAAUUUUCUUUCUUUUUUCUGGCUAGAAUGUCAGAUAGAGCCCUAUAUUUUUGGGGAAUUACGAUAUGAUGUGUGGGUUGUUGGAUGGUGUGAGGAGGGUAAAAUCGUAAAAUAGGAUGCAUUUAGGCUUCUUGGGGUAUAAGUUAAGGGGCGAUAUUUGACUUGUAAGAGAGUGUUUGGGCUUUGCUAUAG